rnacentral:rRNA from 1 species
UACGUAGGUGGCAAGCGUUGUUCGGAUUUACUGGGCGUAAAGAGCGCGCAGGCGGUCGUUCAAGUCGCGUGUGAAAGCCCCCGGCUCAACUGGGGAGGGUCACGCGAUACUGAUCGACUCGAAGGCAGGAGAGGGUAGUGGAAUUCCCGGUGUAGUGGUGAAAUGCGUAGAUAUCGGGAGGAACACCAGUGGCGAAGGCGACUACCUGGCCUGUUCUUGACGCUGAGGCGCGAAAGCUAGGGGAGCAAACGGG